rnacentral:rRNA from 1 species
UGGAAGCGUCUGGAAAGGCGCGCGAUACAGGGUGACAGCCCCGUACACAAAAAUGCACAUGCUGUGAGCUCGAUGAGUAGGGCGGGACACGUGGUAUCCUGUCUGAAUAUGGGGGGACCAUCCUCCAAGGCUAAAUACUCCUGACUGACCGAUAGUGAACCAGUACCGUGAGGGAAAGGCGAAAAGAACCCCGGCGAGGGGAGUGAAAAAGAACCUGAAACCGUGUACGUACAAGCAGUGGGAGCCUCUUAAUGGGGUGACUGCGUACCUUUUGUAUAAUGGGUCAGCGACUUAUAUUCUGUAGCAAGGUUAACCGAAUAGGGGAGCCGAAGGGAAACCGAGUCUUAACUGGGCGUUAAGUUGCAGGGUAUAGACCCGAAACCCGGUGAUCUAGCCAUGGGCAGGUUGAAGGUUGGGUAACACUAACUGGAGGACCGAACCGACUAAUGUUGAAAAAUUAGCGGAUGACUUGUGGCUGGGGGUGAAAGGCCAAUCAAACCGGGAGAUAGCUGGUUCUCCCCGAAAGCUAUUUAGGUAGCGCCUCGUGAAUUCAUCUCCGGGGGUAGAGCACUGUUUCGGCAAGGGGGUCAUCCCGACUUACCAACCCGAUGCAAACUGCGAAUACCGGAGAAUGUUAUCACGGGAGACACACGGCGGGUGCUAACGUCCGUCGUGAAGAGGGAAACAACCCAGACCGCCAGCUAAGGUCCCAAAGUCAUGGUUAAGUGGGAAACGAUGUGGGAAGGCCCAGACAGCCAGGAUGUUGGCUUAGAAGCAGCCAUCAUUUAAAGAAAGCGUAAUAGCUCACUGGUCGAGUCGGCCUGCGCGGAAGAUGUAACGGGGCUAAACCAUG